GAGUUUGAUCAUGGCUCAGAACGAACGCUGGCGGCAUGCUUAACACAGCAAGUCGAACGAUCUCUUCGGAGAUAGUGGCGGACGGGUGAGUAACGCGUGGGAACCUGCCCCGAGGUACGGAAUAACUCAUGGAAACGUGAGCUAAUACCGUAUGUGACCUGAGGGUGAAAGAUUUAUCGCCUUGGGAGGGGCCCGCGUCGGAUUAGGUAGUUGGUGGGGUAACGGCCUACCAAGCCUGCGAUCCGUAGCUGGUCUGAGAGGAUGAUCAGCCACACUGGAACUUAGACACGGUCCCGACUCCUACGGGAGGCAGCAGUAAGGAAUAUUGCACAAUGGGCGCAAGCCUGAUGCAGCAACGCCGCGUGCUCGAGGAAGGCCUUCGGGUUGUAAAGGGCUUUUCUGGCUGAAGAGGAAGGACAGUAGGCCAGGAAGAAGCGUCGGCUAACUCCGUGCCAGCAGCCGCGGUAAUAC
rnacentral:rRNA from 1 species